AUGAAUCGAACAACAGAAUGCAAGUGCCAACAUCCCCUAUUUAUAUCUGAAAAGUGGUCUCCCCCGCGUGUCGCGACAGGGACCACUGAUCCUGUCGCGUGGCGCGACGGGUAACAAAAGUAGGGUAGGGUGGACACGUUUCGGGGUAGCUUUGCUGAGUUGAUUUUACGAUCAAAUUCAAUUUCAACAACGAAUUUAGAAGAUAACUAUUGAUUAGGGUUUAUCCCCCCUUGAGUUUUAGGGGCCCUGAUCCUGAUUCUGUUUAUUCUGAAAAUUUUAAGGAUUGUGCAGAAUUACUUGGGUGUCUCAACUAUGGUUCCCUAUUGGGUAAAUAAAAUAAUAGAUAUAACUUUUGAUAAAAUAAAAUAAUAUUAGUUUUGGGUAAAUUACAAAAAGAGAAUAAAAUAGUGAGAAAAAGGAAUGGACCCACUGUGUAACUUUAGGGUUUAACUAGAAAACCUCCUGGUAUGAAUUUUGGGUAUAACUUUUGGGCUAAAAAAAUAUAAUGUACUUGUGUUAAGUAUAGCACUCCUUAAUUCAACCUUGUCCCGAAGUCCCGAGAUAGAAUCCAAACGAACUUAGUCGGGUAGAGCCUUGACAUGCGUUAUGGGACUCAGAUCAAUCGGAAAGGGUAGCGGUGAUCGGGAGUUAAAACACUUAAAACGAACAAAGGCUUUUGAAGUAUUAUAAGUAUAAUACUAAAGCAAAAAUAGAGGUGUACAUGUAUAGGGAGUAGGGAGAUGGCGAGUAAGAUGAUAGGAAAAGAAAAAAUGGUUUUUAAGGAAAUGGGAAGGUUUAUAUAUAGUUGAAGUAAUUCGUGGAGAACAAGCUUCCAUAUUCAUUCCUGUACACCAUUCAUACACGUAGCCUACCAUUCAUACACGUAGCCAAUAAUGAAUUUCAAAAUUAUAUAUAUUUUCCUUUUAAUUCGGCCGACACACACGUAUCCAUCAAUUUCAUUUCUAUCUUAAAAUUUAUUAUUAUUUUAUUCUUAUAAUUAAUUCACCUGCUUCACUUAUUUGGCGCGUAUAACUGCUAAAAUAUGACGUUCUAGAAAAUAAUAAAUAUGUCAUUUGAACGAGAAUAUUUUUGUCUACAUUUUGAACCAACUUUCAUUAAAAACGGAGUAGGUUCAAAUGUAAUGUAUUUUUAUAAUUUA
rnacentral:lncRNA from 1 species